rnacentral:tRNA from 2 species
GCCCUAGUAGCUUAAUUUAAAAGCACCGGCCUUGUAAAUCGGAGAAUAAAGAUUAAAAUUCUUUCUAGCGCA